rnacentral:snRNA from 1 species
GUGCUUGCUUCAGCACCAUGUAUGCUAAAAUUGGAACAUUACAGGGAAGAUUAGCAUGGCCCCUGCGCAAGGAUGACGUACAUAUUCAUGAAGCAUUCCUUUUUUCU